GAUUUCUUCUACAACAGAGAUCGGAUUUCACUCUCUCGUUUGUGCUUUUCCGUUCAGAGAUGGCGAAGUCGAAGAAUCACACAGCUCACAAUCAAUCACGCAAAGCCCAUAAGAACGGCAUCAAGAAACCAAGGAAGCACCGCCAUACUUCCACCAAAGGGAUGGAUCCGAAGUUCCUUAGGAAUCAGAGGUACGCGAAGAAACACAAUAAUAAGAGUGGGGAAAAUGCUUUUGAGGAAGAGUAAACUAGACAGCUAUGUAGCCGCCAAGUUUAGGGUUUUUAUGAUAUGAGUUUUUCUUAUAUUGAAUCUUUUGUUAUUGCUCUUCUUUUUGUUCAGUAGUCUUGCUAUUUUGACUCAAUGUGGAAACUGUUGCUUCUGAGGCCUGUUUUACGAUAAUUCAUUAUCUGAUUUGCACUAUUA
rnacentral:misc_RNA from 1 species